rnacentral:rRNA from 1 species
AUUGAACGCUGGCGGCAGGCCUAACACAUGCAAGUCGAACGAGUGGCGGACGGGUGAGUAAUAUCUGGGAAAAUGCCCGAUGGAGGGGGAUAACUACUGGAACCGGUAUCUCAUACCGCAUACCAUCGGAGGUGCCCAGAUGGGAUUAGCUAGUAGGUGGGGUAACGGCGCACCUAGGCGACGAUCCCUAGCUGGUCUGAGAGGAUGACCAGCCACACUGGAACUGAGACACGGUCAAGACUCCUACGGGAGGCAGCAGUGGGGAAUAUUGCACAAUGGGCGCAAGCCUGAUGCAGCCAUGCCGCGUGGAUGAAGAAGGCCUUCGGGUUGUAAAGUACUUUCAGCGAGGAGGCGUUACUCGCAGAAGAAGCACCGGCUAACUCCGUGCCAGCAGCCGCGGUAAUAC